CCUACGGGCGGCAGCAGUGAGGAAUAUUGGUCAAUGGACGCGAGUCUGAACCAGCCAUGCCGCGUGCAGGAAGACGGCUCUAUGAGUUGUAAACUUCUUUUAUACGAGAGUAAACGCAGAUACGUGUGUCUGUCUGAAAGUAUCGUACGAAUAAGGAUCGGCUAACUCCGUGCCAGCAGCCGCGGUAAUACGGAGGAUUCGAGCGUUAUCCGGAUUUAUUGGGUUUAAAGGGUGCGUAGGCGGUCGGAUAAGUUAGAGGUGAAAUCCCGAGGCUCAACCGCGGAAUUGCAUCUGAUACUGGUAGGCUAGAGAGUAGUGGCGGUAGGCGGAAUGUAUGGUGUAGCGGUGAAAUGCUUAGAGAUCAUACAGAACACCGAUUGCGAAGGCAGCUUACCAAGCUACUUCUGACGUUGAGGCACGAAAGCGUGGGGAGCAAACAGGAUUAGAUACCCUUGUAGUC
rnacentral:rRNA from 1 species